GAUCUGUAAAAUAAAAAUCCACACCAGAAUAACAUCAGAUCUGCCAGAUCUACACUGUCCCAGGAAAAAAACAAAGCAAAAGUUGGACUACGUCCGAUCUUGCUCGAAAAGUAACGUUCAUUCAAAGUAAAUUGGACCAAAAAACAGAAAUGACCGAUCUAUCUUCAUCUCUUUUAUAAGAAGAGAAGUAAGACGGAACGUACCGUUAGAGAGAACGAAUAAUAGUAUCAAAUAGUAACAGUAACAGAUGAAUCAACAGUAACAGAUAGAGACAUAGUAACAGUAACAGAUGAAUCAACAGUAACAGAGGGGUAAACGAAGCCAAAGCAGGGCUCGGAUUCCGAUCUCUGCUCUGCGACCGACAAACGGACCUU
rnacentral:lncRNA from 1 species